GAUAAGCUUUUACUUUCAGCUCAGGUAUCAAGAUUUGUUUGUCAGAUAAGUUAUUGUUCCAAGUCCGAAGACAAGGUUCUGAUUCUGAAAAUUCUGAUACCUUUGAAAAAUUACAAUGAAUCAUCUUCUGGAGUACACAUCGUUUCACAUCAGAAUAAUUCCAUCAGAAGAUUAAAGAACAAAUUCAUGAUUUCUCCUGCACUCUAUUUACUACUUCAGAUCCGAAGUACCUCACCAGAAGAAAAGAUCAGAAACUCGCACAAGAAGAAUACAGUACAACAUUAUAACACCUUUCCGCUAUUUGUGAAGAACGCAAUGUAG